rnacentral:rRNA from 1 species
UACGGGGGGAGUAAGCGUUGUUCGGAUUUACUGGGCGUAAAGGGCGCGUAGGCGGCUUUAUAAGUCGGGGGUGAAAGCCUGUGGCUCAACCACAGAAUUGCCUUCGAUACUGUAGAGCUUGAGACCGGAAGAGGUAAGUGGAACUGCGAGUGUAGAGGUGAAAUUCGUAGAUAUUCGCAAGAACACCAGUGGCGAAGGCGGCUUACUGGUCCGGUUCUGACGCUGAGGCGCGAAAGCGUGGGGAGCAAACAGG